rnacentral:rRNA from 1 species
UACAGAGACUGCAAGCGUUAUUCGGAUUCACUGGGCGUAAAGGGUGCGCAGGCGGCCGUGUGUGUGAGGCGUGAAAGCCUGGAGCUUAACUCCAGAAUUGCACUUCAAACUACACGGCUAGAGCAUUGGAGAGGGUAGCAGAAUUCACGGUGUAGCAGUGAAAUGCGUAGAUAUCGUGAGGAAUACCAGAGGCGAAGGCGGCUACCUGGACAAUUGCUGACGCUCAGGCACGAAAGCGUGGGGAGCAAAAGGG